rnacentral:rRNA from 1 species
UACGGAGGGUGCAAGCGUUAUCCGGAUUCACUGGGUUUAAAGGGUGCGUAGGUGGGCAAGUAAGUCAGUGGUGAAAUCUCCGGGCUUAACCCGGAAACUGCCAUUGAUACUAUUUGUCUUGAAUACUGUGGAGGUCAGCGGAAUAUGUCAUGUAGCGGUGAAAUGCUUAGAUAUGACAUAGAACACCAAUUGCGAAGGCAGCUGGCUACAGGGAUAUUGACACUGAGGCACGAAAGCGUGGGGAUCAAACAGG